GCUUCUCUUGAGAGCGGCGGACGGGUGAGUAAUGCCUAGGAAUCUGCCUGGUAGUGGGGGAUAACGUUCGGAAACGAACGCUAAUACCGCAUACGUCCUACGGGAGAAAGCAGGGGACCUUCGGGCCUUGCGCUAUCAGAUGAGCCUAGGUCGGAUUAGCUAGUUGGUGAGGUAAUGGCUCACCAAGGCGACGAUCCGUAACUGGUCUGAGAGGAUGAUCAGUCACACUGGAACUGAGACACGGUCCAGACUCCUACGGGAGGCAGCAGUGGGGAAUAUUGGACAAUGGGCGAAAGCCUGAUCCAGCAAUGCCGCGUGUGUGAAGAAGGUCUUCGGAUUGUAAAGCACUUUAAGUUGGGAGGAAGGGCAGUUACCUAAUACGUGAUUGUUUUGACGUUACCGACAGAAUAAGCACCGGCUAACUCUGUGCCAGCAGCCGCGGUAAUACAGAGGGUGCAAGCGUUAAUCGGAAUUACUGGGCGUAAAGCGCGCGUAGGUGGUUUGUUAAGUUGGAUGUGAAAUCCCCGGGCUCAACCUGGGAACUGCAUUCAAAACUGACUGACUAGAGUAUGGUAGAGGGUGGCUGGAAUUUCCUGUGGGA
rnacentral:rRNA from 1 species